CAUGAUCAUGAGCUGGUAGCAGGUGCAAUAUUGAUUCGGAGUCUUACCGGCGUCCACCUUCUGAAGGGUGUGCGUUAAAAGUUCAUCCGAACAAUU
rnacentral:misc_RNA from 1 species